UUUGGUUAAGUUAGAAAGGGCGCACGGUGGAUGCCUUGACACUAGGAGUCGAUGAAGGACGGGACUAACGCCGAUAUGCUUCGGGGAGCUGUAAGUAAGCUUUGAUCCGAAGAUUUCCGAAUGGGGAAACCCACCAUACGUAAUGGUAUGGUAUCCUUAUCUGAAUACAUAGGGUAAGGAAGACAGACCCAGGGAACUGAAACAUCUAAGUACCUGGAGGAAGAGAAAGCAAAUGCGAUUUCCUGAGUAGCGGCGAGCGAAACGGAACAUAGCCCAAACCAAGAGGCUUGCCUCUUGGGGUUGUAGGACAUUCUAUACGGAGUUACAAAGGAACGAGGUAGACGAAGCGACCUGGAAAGGUCCGUCGUAGAGGGUAACAACCCCGUAGUCGAAACUUCGUUCUCUCUUGAAUGUAUCCUGAGUACGGCGGAACACGUGAAAUUCCGUCGGAAUCUGGGAGGACCAUCUCCCAAGGCUAAAUACUCCCUAGUGAUCGAUAGUGAACCAGUACCGUGAGGGAAAGGUGAAAAGCACCCCGGAAGGGGAGUGAAAGAGAUCCUGAAACCGUGUGCCUACAAAUAGUCAGAGCCCGUUAACGGGUGAUGGCGUGCCUUUUGUAGAAUGAACCGGCGAGUUACGAUCCCGUGCGAGGUUAAGCUGAAGAGGCGGAGCCGCAGCGAAAGCGAGUCUGAAUAGGGCGUUUAGUACGUGGUCGUAGACCCGAAACCAGGUGAUCUACCCAUGUCCAGGGUGAAGUUCAGGUAACACUGAAUGGAGGCCCGAACCCACGCACGUUGAAAAGUGCGGGGAUGAGGUGUGGGUAGCGGAGAAAUUCCAAUCGAACCUGGAGAUAGCUGGUUCUCCCCGAAAUAGCUUUAGGGCUAGCCUUAAGUGUAAGAGUCUUGGAGGUAGAGCACUGAUUGGACUAGGGGUCCUCAUCGGAUUACCGAAUUCAGUCAAACUCCGAAUGCCAAUGACUUAUCCUUAGGAGUCAGACUGCGAGUGAUAAGAUCCGUAGUCAAAAGGGAAACAGCCCAGACCGCCAGCUAAGGUCCCAAAGUGUGUAUUAAGUGGAAAAGGAUGUGGAGUUGCUUAGACAACUAGGAUGUUGGCUUAGAAGCAGCCACCAUUUAAAGAGUGCGUAAUAGCUCACUAGUCGAGUGACUCUGCGCCGAAAAUGUACCGGGGCUAAAUACACCACCGAAGCUGCGGAUUGAUACCGAAUGGUAUCAGUGGUAGGGGAGCGUUCUAAGGACAGUGAAGUCAGACCGGAAGGACUGGUGGAGUGCUUAGAAGUGAGAAUGCCGGUAUGAGUAGCGAAAGACGGGUGAGAAUCCCGUCCACCGAAUGCCUAAGGUUUCCUGAGGAAGGCUCGUCCGCUCAGGGUUAGUCAGGACCUAAGCCGAGGCCGACAGGCGUAGGCGAUGGACAACAGGUUGAUAUUCCUGUACCACCUCUUUAUCGUUUGAGCAAUGGAGGGACGCAGAAGGAUAGAAGAAGCGUGCGAUUGGUUGUGCACGUCCAAGCAGUUAGGCUGAUAAGUAGGCAAAUCCGCUUAUCGUAAAGGCUGAGCUGUGAUGGGGAAGCUCCUUAUGGAGCGAAGUCUUUGAUUCCCCGCUGCCAAGAAAAGCUUCUAGCGAGAUAAAAGGUGCCUGUACCGCAAACCGACACAGGUAGGCGAGGAGAGAAUCCUAAGGUGUGCGAGAGAACUCUGGUUAAGGAACUCGGCAAAAUGACCCCGUAACUUCGGGAGAAGGGGUGCUUUCUUAACGGAAAGCCGCAGUGAAUAGGCCCAAGCGACUGUUUAGCAAAAACACAGCUCUCUGCGAAGCCGUAAGGCGAAGUAUAGGGGGUGACACCUGCCCGGUGCUGGAAGGUUAAGGAGAGGGGUUAGCGUAAGCGAAGCUCUGAACUGAAGCCCCAGUAAACGGCGGCCGUAACUAUAACGGUCCUAAGGUAGCGAAAUUCCUUGUCGGGUAAGUUCCGACCCGCACGAAAGGUGUAACGAUUUGGGCACUGUCUCAACCCGAGACUCGGUGAAAUUAUAGUACCUGUGAAGAUGCAGGUUACCCGCGACAGGACGGAAAGACCCCGUGGAGCUUUACUGUAGCCUGAUAUUGAAUUUUGGUACAGUUUGUACAGGAUAGGCGGGAGCCUUUGAAACCGGAGCGCUAGCUUCGGUGGAGGCGCUGGUGGGAUACCGCCCUGACUGUAUUGAAAUUCUAACCUACGGGUCUUAUCGACCCGGGAGACAGUGUCAGGUGGGCAGUUUGACUGGGGCGGUCGCCUCCUAAAGUGUAACGGAGGCGCCCAAAGGUUCCCUCAGAAUGGUUGGAAAUCAUUCGUAGAGUGCAAAGGCAUAAGGGAGCUUGACUGCGAGACCUACAAGUCGAGCAGGGACGAAAGUCGGGCUUAGUGAUCCGGUGGUUCCGCAUGGAAGGGCCAUCGCUCAACGGAUAAAAGCUACCCCGGGGAUAACAGGCUUAUCUCCCCCAAGAGUCCACAUCGACGGGGAGGUUUGGCACCUCGAUGUCGGCUCAUCGCAUCCUGGGGCUGUAGUCGGUCCCAAGGGUUGGGCUGUUCGCCCAUUAAAGCGGUACGCGAGCUGGGUUCAGAACGUCGUGAGACAGUUCGGUCCCUAUCCGUCGUGGGCGUAGGAAAUUUGAGAGGAGCUGUCCUUAGUACGAGAGGACCGGGAUGGACGCACCGCUGGUGUACCAGUUGUUCUGCCAAGGGCAUAGCUGGGUAGCUAUGUGCGGAAGGGAUAAGUGCUGAAAGCAUCUAAGCAUGAAGCCCCCCUCAAGAUGAGAUUUCCCAUAGCGUAAGCUAGUAAGAUCCCUGAAAGAUGAUCAGGUUGAUAGGUUCGAGGUGGAAGCAUGGUGACAUGUGGAGCUGACGAAUACUAAUAGAUCGAGGACUUAACCAUAUAA
rnacentral:rRNA from 1 species